ACGGCUCAGUAACACGUAGUCAACCUAAACUUAUGGACGGAAAUAACCUCGGGAAACUGAGGAUAAUGUCCGAUAGAUCAUUAUGCCUGGAAUGGUUUAUGGUCGAAACGAAUAUCGCCGUAGGAUGGGACUGCGAGCUAUCAGCUUGUUGGUGAGGUAAUGGCCCACCAAGGCAAUUACAGCUACGGGCUCUGAGAGGAGUACCCCGGAGAUGGGUACUGAGACAAGGACCCAGGCCCUAUGGGGCGCAGCAGGCGAGAAAACUUUGCAAUGUGCGAAAGCCCGACAAGGUUAAUCUGAGUGGUUUCUGCUAAAGGAACCUUUUGUUAGUCCUAAAAACACUGAUGAAUAAGGGGUGGGCAAGUUCUGGUGUCAGCCGCCGCGGUAAAACCAGCACCUCAAGUGGUCAGGAUGAUUAUUGGGCCUAAAGCAUCCGUAGCCUGUUCUAUAAGUUUCCGGUUACAUCCAUAUGCUCCACAUAUGGGCCGCCGGAAAUACUGUAGAACUAGGGAGUGGGAGAGGUAGACGGUACUCGAUAGGCAGAGGUAAGAUUCUUUGAUCUAUUGAUGACCACCUGUGGCGAAGGCGGUCUACCAGAACACGUUCUACGGUGAGGGAUGUAAGCUGGGGGUAGCUAUACCGGAUUAGAUACCCGGGUAGUCCCAGCUGUAAACGAUGCAAACUAGGUGAUGCGUUGGCUUGUUGCUAGCGCAGUGCCUCAGUGGAAGCCGUUAAGUUUGCCGCCUGGGAAGUACGUACGCAAGUAUGAAUACUUAAAGGUAAUUGGCGGGGGAGCAC
rnacentral:rRNA from 1 species